rnacentral:rRNA from 1 species
UACGGAGGGUGCGAGCGUUAAUCGGAAUUACUGGGCGUAAAGCGCACGCAGGUGGUUGGGUAAGUCGGAUGUGAAAGCCCUGGGCUCAACCUGGGAACUGCAUUCGAUACUGCCCGGCUAGAGUAUGGGAGAGGGAAGCGGAAUUUCCGGUGUAGCGGUGAAAUGCGUAGAUAUCGGAAGGAACACCAAUGGCGAAGGCAGCUUCCUGGCCCAAUACUGACGCUCAGGUGCGAAAGCGUGGGGAUCAAACAGG